rnacentral:rRNA from 1 species
GACGAACGCUGGCGGCGCGCCUAACACAUGCAAGUCGAACGAGCGAGAGAGAGCUUGCUUUCUCGAGCGAGUGGCGAACGGGUGAGUAACGCGUGAGGAACCUGCCUCAAAGAGGGGGACAACAGUUGGAAACGACUGCUAAUACCGCAUAAGCCCACAGGUCGGCAUCGACCAGAGGGAAAAGGAGCAAUCCGCUUUGAGAUGGCCUCGCGUCCGAUUAGCUAGUUGGUGAGGUAAUGGCCCACCAAGGCGACGAUCGGUAGCCGGACUGAGAGGUUGAACGGCCACAUUGGGACUGAGACACGGCCCAGACUCCUACGGGAGGCAGCAGUGGGGAAUAUUGCACAAUGGGGGAAACCCUGAUGCAGCGACGCCGCGUGGAGGAAGAAGGUCUUCGGAUUGUAAACUCCUGUUGUUGAGGAAGAUAAUGACGGUACUCAACAAGGAAGUGAC